rnacentral:rRNA from 1 species
GUGGGGAGUGCUAUAAUGCAGUCGAGCGGACAGAAGGGAGCUUGCUCCCGGAUGUUAGCGGCGGACGGGUGAGUAACACGUGGGUAACCUGCCUGUAAGACUGGGAUAACUCCGGGAAACCGGAGCUAAUACCGGAUAGUUCCUUGAACCGCAUGGUUCAAGGAUGAAAGACGGUUUCGGCUGUCACUUACAGAUGGACCCGCGGCGCAUUAGCUAGUUGGUGGGGUAAUGGCUCACCAAGGCGACGAUGCGUAGCCGACCUGAGAGGGUGAUCGGCCACACUGGGACUGAGACACGGCCCAGACUCCUACGGGAGGCAGCAGUAGGGAAUCUUCCGCAAUGGACGAAAGUCUGACGGAGCAACGCCGCGUGAGUGAUGAAGGUUUUCGGAUCGUAAAGCUCUGUUGUUAGGGAAGAACAAGUGCGAGAGUAACUGCUCGCACCUUGACGGUACCUAACCAGAAAGCCACGGCUAACUACGUGCCAGCAGCCGCGGUAAUACGUAGGUGGCAAGCGUUGUCCGGAAUUAUUGGGCGUAAAGGGCUCGCAGGCGGUUUCUUAAGUCUGAUGUGAAAGCCCCCGGCU